rnacentral:rRNA from 1 species
GUCUAUAGCCAUACCACCCUGAACGUGCCCGGUAUCGUCUGAUUCCGGAAGCUAAGCAGGGUUGGGCCUGGUUAGUACUUGGAUGGGAAACAAUUAUUAACUUCAAAUUCUAAAGUUA